GGGAGCUGGAGCUGCAUCAAGGAAUCUAUUGUUUGUGCAGUCGGGUACAUGAUAUCAAUCAAUCGCUGGUGCGUUCUGAUCUCAAAAUGGAACCUUGAAUCUUUGUGCACGUGAGGAGAAUUGAGCACACAAUAUACUCUUCGCUUGGUUGGCAGAGGAACUGGACCCAUCGUCUUUGCAUUUGUUGUUUUUGCAGCUUCAAUGAUCUUCUUACAGGAGUCCUCGAUCAAUGGUACCCAGUAAGACCUCAGCUUAAUUCUGAUCUUCUGCUUGGGUGCCA
rnacentral:misc_RNA from 1 species